rnacentral:tmRNA from 1 species
AAUGUCGUUCAUUCCAGCCUUCGGGCUUAAUUAAGUCCGGAGCCUCUAUCUAUCCUGCCUGUGGGAUAAAAUAGAGCGGCUAACAGGCUAGUCUGGGCGAAUUAGCCUUUGGUGUCCAGGCAAAAUUCAAAAAGGAUGCUGCCUGCCCAAUCCUGUUUACCGGAGUGGGCAAGAGUAAGUUUAAAAGAUAAACUAAGCAUGUAGCGACUUUUAUCGGAUUACUUAAGGACGGCGGUUCGAUUCA